rnacentral:rRNA from 1 species
GGAAUUUUCCGCAAUGGGCGAAAGCCUGCCGCCCGCAACGCCGCGUGAGGGAUGAAGGCCUCUGGGCUGUAAACCUCUUUUAUCAAGGAAGAAGAUCUGACGGUACUUGAUGAAUAAGCCACGGCUAAUUCCGUGCCAGCAGCCGCGGUAAUACGGGAGUGGCAAGCGUUAUCCGGAAUUAUUGGGCGUAAAGCGUCCGCAGGCGGUCUGUCAAGUCUGCUGUUAAAGCGUGGAGCUUAACUCCAUUUCGGCAGUGGAAACUGACAGACUAGAGUGUGGUAGGGGCAGAGGGAAUUCCCGGUGUAGCGGUGAAAUGCGUAGAUAUCGGGAAGAACACCAGUGGCGAAGGCGCUCUGCUGGGCCAUAACUGACGCUCAUGGACGAAAGCCAGGGGAGCGAAAGGGAUUAGAUACCCCAGUAGUC